ensembl:lncRNA
UUUUUUCUUUUUCUUUUUUUUUUUUUUAAGCGCCAAACGGCGUGCCGCGAAAUUCGGAUCUCCCGCGGAAAAUGCCGCGCUCCCGUUGGCUGCUGCAAGAGUACAGGCUCCACCCCCCGGAAAGAACCAGUCCUCGAGGCGGCGAUUGCAACACGAGCUUCGCUGCUUAAAGGGGCAGCCACACCUGCUGUCGGUGCCGCCCGCCGCUGGACGCGCUAGCUAGCAGCCGGCGAGACGGAGACAGGGUGGUUCUGGGAUGCACAGUGCAGAGGCGGCCAGAACAGAGCACAGCGCCCCGAGAAAUGGGCCCGGAUUCCCUGGGGUUGAAGGGAAACAUUUUGGCGCCGGGUCCCGACCUGAGCCCAGACUCAGCAGUGUAUUCCCCAGGCCACAGGCCCUUUUGUUAGUUUGCAUUGUUGCUUAGCUAGCACAUGUGCAUUCAUAUCCCCUUUCCUGCUAAAAUGAAGGCCAGGAACUUGUUCCCUUUAAUGGCAGAGGGGUGAGGGAUGGAGGCAAACUAGUCUACUUCUUUAUAGGGAAAACUAACAUCUAUUCAGCGCCUGCAGGAUGCCAAGCACCAUGCUAGAUCCUUACAAGGGUUGUUUUAAUUUAUUCCAACAAUCCUGGGAAGAGGAAUGAUGAUCCCCAUGAUAAAGACUGACAGUCUGAAAGGCUGGGUAACUUGCCCAAGGUCAUACAGAGAGAUUCCCUGAUUUGAGAGCUGGCAAUGGAAUCUGGGACAGGUCCCAGCUCUGGAGCCCUUGUUUUUCCAGUUAAGGGGUUCUUCUACCCUCCCAAGCUGCCUGCCGACACAGCAGGGUCAGAGGCCCACUGCAGAGCUUUGUCUUAUUCACAGUUGUAUUCUUAGGACCCAACACUCAGUAAAUGUUUGAACAUCUCCAGGUUUCUUUUAAACAAUCCUUUUGUCACAAGAGCCUCCCUGCCUCAUUCAAAAAUCUUCAUUGCUGAUAAUAUAUUCCUCACCACUCCAGUUUAGAGAGGCUCAGAGAAGCAACCUUUGGUAGUGAGUGGUAAAGCUGCUAGAAGCUGCUGCUACAUUCCAGGUCUGAUUCUUGCCUGGUGCUGUGUGAUUUUUAUGCAAGUCUGAGCCUUGGCAUUCAAAACCCUCCAGAGACAGUCCACAGCUUAUUUCCUCAUUAGAUGGUUGAGGACAAGGUGGCAAUAACCCAUGAUGAUUAAGAGCCCAGGCUGUGUGGCCAACAGCCCUGAGUUCAAACCCAGGCCCAGACACUUUAUUCGUUGUGUGACCUAGGCAAAUUUUGUAAAUUCUCUGAUCCUUGAUCCUUGAUUUUCUCAUCCUAAUAGCACUUACCUCAUAGGAUCAUGAGGAAAUCUCCUGAGAUAAUGCAUAUAAAGCUUUCAGCACAGAACCUGGAUCAUAAGGAGGCUCAAGAAUUGGCAGAUGUUGUUAUAUCUCUGACUUUUUUUUUUUUUUUAAGACAGAGUCUCACUCUGUCACCAGGUUGGAAUGCAGCGGUGCAAUUCUCCUGCCUCAGGUUCAAGUGAGUCUCCUGCCUCAGCCUCCCA